CCGUUGGUAGCUCAGAUGGCAGAGCGGUGGACUGUAGAUUGAAAUAUGCAAGGUAUCCAUAGGUCGCUGGUUCAAUUCCGGCCCAACGGA
rfam:Daphnia pulex DAPPTscaffold_6_Cont451, whole genome shotgun sequence.